rnacentral:hammerhead_ribozyme from 1 species
AUCGAGCUGACGAGUUCAAAAUAGGAUGAAACGUGAGUUCUCUAU